UACAGAGGUGCCAAGCGUUAGGCGGAAUCACUGGGCUUAAAGCGCGUGUAGGUGGACGGGUAAGUAUCUUGUGAAAUCCCACGGCUCAACCGUGGAACUGCUGGAUAUACUGCUUGUCUUGAGGCACUUAGGGGCAGCUGGAACAAAUGGUGGAGCGGUGAAAUGCGUAGAUAUCGAGAGGAACACCAGUGGCGAAGGCGAGUCCCUGGACAAGACCUGACACUGAGGCACGAAAGCCAGGGGAGCGAACGGG
rnacentral:rRNA from 1 species